rnacentral:lncRNA from 1 species
CAUGCUCCACUAUCUCAUCCCCCAGUCUGCAUGAUGGGCAAGUGGACUAGAGGUCUAUGCCUCUAUCCCUUAGAAUAGACCUAGUGGGAUGAUGACCCCAGGCAAUCUUCUAUAAAAACAUGCUCAUCCUUGAAUGCAUUCUACUCCUCCAAAUCUACCCAACAUCCAACAAUCUUGUGGGCUCUAUCUGAUAUAAUCAAUAAAGGUCGGUGAUCACUAUUUUCUAGGUAUAGGAUGAUCUCUAGACCCUCACAUCAUGGCUGCUAUGGAAAGGAACCAC